rnacentral:rRNA from 1 species
UAGGGAAUAUUGGACAAUGGGUGCAAGCCUGAUCCAGCCAUGCCGCGUGCAGGAAGAAGGCCUUCUGGGUUGUAAACUGCUUUUUGCCAGGGGAUAAAAUUUCUUUGCGAAGAAAAUUGAAGGUACCUGGUGAAUAAGCCACGGCUAACUACGUGCCAGCAGCCGCGGUAAUACGUAGGUGGCAAGCGUUGUCCGGAUUUAUUGGGUUUAAAGGGUGCGUAGGCGGUUCCAUAAGUCAGUGGUGAAAUACAAUAGCUUAACUAUUGAGGUGCCAUUGAUACUGCGGAACUUGAGUACAGACGAGGUAGGCGGAAUUGACGGUGUAGCGGUGAAAUGCUUAGAUAUCGUCAAGAACACCGAUAGCGAAGGCAGCUUACUAGACUGUAACUGACGCUGAGGCACGAAAGUGUGGGGAUCAAACAGGAUUAGAUACCCAAGUAGUCCCUGAGCGGGCUGGCAAGGCGCAU